rnacentral:rRNA from 1 species
GAUGAACGCUGGCUACAGGCUUAACACAUGCAAGUCGAGGGGAAACGACGGGGAAGCUUGCUUCCCCGGGCGUCGACCGGCGCACGGGUGAGUAACGCGUAUCCAACCUGCCUCUGACUGAGGGAUAACCCGUCGAAAGUCGGCCUAAUACCUCAUGGCAUCGUCUGCGGGCAUCCAACGACGAUUAAAGAUUUCAUCGGUCAGAGAUGGGGAUGCGUCUGAUUAGCUUGUUGGCGGGGUAACGGCCCACCAAGGCGACGAUCAGUAGGGGUUCUGAGAGGAAGGUCCCCCACAUUGGAACUGAGACACGGUCCAAACUCCUACGGGAGGCAGCAGUGAGGAAUAUUGGUCAAUGGGCGAGAGCCUGAACCAGCCAAGUAGCGUGCAGGAUGACGGCCCUAUGGGUUGUAAACUGCUUUUAUGCGGGGAUAAAGUGAGGGACGUGUCAUUCAUUGCAGGUACCGCAUGAAUAAGGACCGGCUAAUUCCGUG